CACGUAGGGCGCAAGCGUUGUCCGGAAUUAUUGGGCGUAAAGAGCUCGUAGGCGGUGUGUCGCGUCGGCCGUGAAAACCUGCAGCUUAACUGUGGGCUUGCGGUCGAUACGGGCAUCACUGGAGUUCGGCAGGGGAGACUGGAAUCCUGGUGUAGCGGUGAAAAUGCGCAGAUAUCAGGAGGAACACCGGUGGCGAAGGCGGGUCUCUGGACCGAGACUGACGGCUGAGGC
rnacentral:rRNA from 1 species